rnacentral:rRNA from 1 species
UGGGGAAUUUUGGACAAUGGGCGCAAGCCUGAUCCAGCCAUGCCGCGUGAGUGAAGAAGGCCUUCGGGUUGUAAAGCUCUUUCAGACGGAAAGAAAUCGGUGUGUUUAAUACAUGCACUGGAUGACGGUACCGUAAGAAGAAGCACCGGCUAACUACGUGCCAGCAGCCGCGGUAAUACGUAGGGUGCGAGCGUUAAUCGGAAUUACUGGGCGUAAAGCGUGCGCAGGCGGUUAUGUAAGACAGAUGUGAAAUCCCCGGGCUCAACCUGGGAACUGCGUUUGUGACUGCAUAACUAGAGUACGGCAGAGGGAGGUGGAAUUCCACGUGUAGCAGUGAAAUGCGUAGAGAUGUGGAGGAACACCGAUGGCGAAGGCAGCCUCCUGGGCCAGUACUGACGCUCAUGCACGAAAGCGUGGGGAGCAAACAGG